AGAGCACUCUUCUGUCUGUAGAUGCCUCAGCUGCUCUACAAGGGAGUCCCAUUUCAGGUGUGGGGCUGGGUAUGGUCAUUCCUGCUGGAUGUCUAGAAGGUGAAAAACAAGGACCUAGGAAAAUACCAGAUACAGCAUUUCCACCGUCAUCCAGAGCAGGACAAACACGCCAGGUGGUGUCAGGAGCCUAGGUCUCCAGCUGGAGGGAACGUCAACCCUGCAGUGGGAGCCCAUCAUGCAUCCUAGGCACAGAUGCUAAUGUAGGCACCGCAGGUAAGCUGGGCUUGGUACCCCUCCCUGGCUUCAGAAAGAAGCCAAACAAGGAGCUUUCUGCAGAAUGAAACCUCUUUUCCAUCCAGAAGCACUGCUGACUGUUUGGUGGUUGCCGUUAGGGCAGUGAGCCUUUUGUCCAUUCUGAGAUUGGGCUGGUUUCUCCUCUUGGCCCUGCCCUACAGACCAUAAAGGAAAACAGCAAGAGGUCCCCAGCAAACAUCUACAGAUGGCCCUGGACAUCAGCCACAUUCGGAGAAACAUGUCAUGUUCUGGGAGGGCUAAGGCAUCGAGUAAGGCCUAUGGGGCUGGAGGAUCCCAGGGCAGGUGGGGCAAUCCAGAGCUGUGGGGGCUUCUGUGGGAAUUGGGAGGUCCCAAGGCAGAGGUAGGGGUUCCACAGGAGGAGUCACAGAGCCACCAAGGGUUCUCUUGGCCCAGGGAGCAGUGGGGCCUCAUCUGUCCUAUUCCUCCUGUGGCCUGGGUCCUAGCACCAUGUCUGGUACAGUGUAGGUGCUCAAGGGAAGUUUACUUUAUAGAACUGUCUACCUAGGAGAUGUUGCUGUUAGUCUAACCUGUACCAUUUUGUAAACCUGCAGCCAUUUUGCACACCCUGGUCAGAAUGAAACAUUCCUUGGGAACUUGGGCCAUGAGAAGCAUCCUUCCUGAUCACCUGACUGUAGAAACAUCCUUAUCGCACCCUCCCGGGCAAAGGCCCAACAGCCUGACUGCAGGAACAUCCUUGCCAUAUCCUGCUGGGCAGCAAGCUCUACCGCCCAGACCCCUCCUUCCCAGUCCCAUGAUCACCCCAGCCUGUGAGAGGCAGUUGGUGCUGGCAGUAAGCUGGUUUCCUCCUCUGCAGGGUUUUGCUAGUAAUAAAGGUGUUGCUGUUGAAGCCGCCAA
rnacentral:lncRNA from 1 species